GGUUGGUACUUGGCAGCCAAAUCUAGCAGAAAAUAGUGGGGGAGAAACGGUGUCGUUUCCUCCCUGUUGUUCGCUCGUAUUCGCGAAGCCAAAUUACCAAAAUUAAUCCUCCUCCCGAGCAUGCUCAUCCUUUGCUCCGCCCAAAUAAAAAUCCCCAAUUCAGUGAAUUCACAGCAUCACAUCGAACGGCACCGUUUCGCACUCCGAUGUUCGCUUGCCGAGACGAUAAUAGCAGAAAUCGGAAAAUGGGUAAUCUGGGAGGAGCGCUGUGGUGUUAUCAGGAACUCAAAGUUUGUAGCUUUAUUGGGCUAUCAUCACUUCAGGGAUAUGCAGGGUAUAUUGCAAGAGUUAUCAUUGUCAUUCGACUGAACUGGCUCGGAGAAUGGGAAACAUCACUGGUGUGUUAGUUAUGAAUCAUAGAUUGGAGGUUGUAGUAGUAAUAAUGAUAUCGCGUUAUUUCCCAUUUGGACUUUUGAACUUAAUGUGUAGAAAAGUUGACAGUAACGAGUCUUGUUAUUACAAUUUUGGUGGUGAGGGGAAAUCUGUAGCUAAAUUUGGAGUGAGAAAGCCGUGCUGUAGUGUAAGGCACUUGGCUGAUGUUAGAUGACUGAGGUGCUUUUCUAACUUGGGAUAUGUUGUUGCCAAGUUGAUGUUGCUCUGAGGGUGAGAAUGUUGAGUUGAUAUCUCCAGUCCAAUUCCGGUCAUCAUAGGUGUCGGAUAAGUUUCCAGAAUAGCCACAAUUAAGGGUGAUAUCAUCGACCGGAGUGUAGAUAGGAGGUGAACCGCUAGCUACAAGGAGGGUGACGAUGUGGAGAUACAAGGAGAUGGAGGGACGUGUGAGAGUUGGCUUCAUGGUAACUCUGGGGAUCAAGACGGAGAAUUAAGUAGGGUGAGAGGUGUUUUGAUGGAGAGGCAAAGCUUUCUCUGAUGUUUUGUCCUUUUGUAACGCAGGAGCGUAGACUUGCAACAGACCAGAAAAAGAAGAAGACUGGUCUCUAAAUCAAAGAUUCUUGGUUAACACGAGAAAUUAACAAGCACUUAAUUUUCUUUUUUACUCUUACGAAUUCUUUUUUGACUGUAAUAAACACUGAUUUGUUAGUUGAGCAAUGUGUUUUGCAGAACCAACUCCUUCUGUGAUCCAUCUUCAAUUACAUACCAAUUCUUUAUCUGCGCGUUGUCUGCCAAUUGAUAAGUUUUCUCAUUUCAUGUAAAUAACUGUGUCAUGAUAGUAUUUGUAAUGGUUAUAAUCUUUCACAUCCAAGUAAACUCCGAAGUAAAGCUUGCAUUAAACAAAAGAAAGAAAAGAAAACUGGGGUCUAUGAUGGGUUGUCGUAUAAUCUUUUCGUCCAGCAUCAACAAAUCUUUUCGGCUAUCUUCUCAGUAAUUUUAUGGGGGAAGACCUCCAAUCCUUAAGUAUGAAAGAGGUUUAGAAUUUGGAGCAGCUACUUGAUUCUGCUCUGAAGCACAUAAGGUCUAGAAGUUCUCCACUUCAAGUUCCUUUAUUUUUGGUAAUAUAUGUAAAGAAUUUUCCCAUAGUUCGCAAGGUUUGCUCAUGUAUUGUAAUCUGCAAAUCGUUUCAUGCAUUUGCCAGUAUAUAUAAUUUUUUUCCAUAUUUGUGAUUGAAGAUGACAUUGUAAUUCAUAUGCAUCUCUGUUCUUAUCUUUGCAGUCAAUUCAUGACUUGAUGUCUUGAUGAGUACUUUUUUUCUUCUGUUUUUUUCAUUAAAUGAGUGUGUGGGAAUGCUUCGAUGGUUUCUGUGUGUUAUGAGUUUGGCUUUUUGCCCUUGGGUAUCUGAGAAAUUGAUUGUGAAAUUUUUUAAUUUUUAAUUUUUUAGUUUAUAUUUGUUUUGAAUUUUGUCAGUUUUUAAAUGUAUUGGUGGCAUGGAUUUCUCAUUUGGUUUCUUGGCUAUUUGGGAUUUGUAGCGUUGCAGUUGGUGAUGGCUUCCAUUGCAGUGAUUGAGCUUUCAGUUUUUGGUUUGGUUGAAUACAUUGAGCAGAAUGUUUCUUUUCUCAGGAGAUAGAGAAAUCAAGUGACCAUACCAAAAAUUUCUUGAAUAGAUUCAGUGGAUUGCAUUCUGAAGUCCAAAAUCUAACCACAAAGAAAUACUUGAACUGAUUUCUUGGUACUGCAGAUCAUAAAGUGAGGUCAGUUUUCAAAACCGCUAUGAAGUAUAAUGAGGAGAAAAGUGAAGUUCAUGUUAUGGCAAAAACUUUGAUCGCAAAAUUUGAGGAAACGUGGAUGCAGCUUCUGCCUAAAGUUACUGUAUAGGAAAAGAGGCUAGAAGAGGAAGAUGCAGGAGCACAGUUAAAUAUGGAGCUCACUAAAGGUGAUGUUCAUGUUACGGUUAGAUCGCAAAAUUUGAGUAAAUGUGGAUGCAGCUUCUGCCUAAAGUUACUGUAUAGGAAAAGAGGCUAGAAGAGGAAGAUGCAGAAGCACAGUUAAAUAUGGAGCUCACUAAAGGGGCUGCUUAUGCUAAAAUGGCUAGAAACUUACGCAACAAGUUGGUGUCCAUCACAUUCAAGAGCAAAUGAGGUUGAUCCUCACCAUUGUUGCUGAAAGCUACAGCCAAGGAAAAAAAAAAUGGUUUCUGAGCUUUGAACAUCGUAACUAAAGAAAGGAGUCCAUGAGUGGACAUGUUAAUGAGAUACCAGAGUUGUCUUGAGCAGAAAAUGUUUGGAGCUUUGUUUUGCUUAUGAAGUGUGCGCUGAACUAUGCUUUCCUUGUUUAAAUGACUGCUCCCUGGUGCUGGAUGCUUGUCAUUCCAGAAUUGUUGCUCUUUUUGCUUUUGCAUUGUACAUGUGUUGUAAGUAACUGAAGUGUUAACCUGGAGCAUUCUUUUGGUGCUUUUUGUAGUGGAAAACUUUGGAAAGCAA